UCUGAGCGCUUCAUUGACCAAUCACAAAGUCGAUGCAAAGCGGCCGCGUAUGUCUCAGGGAGGCGUUGGAGGCUCAUUUCUUCAGAGGAGAAUUCAGUGUUUUCAUCAAGAUGCAGUUCAUGCUCUUAUUCAGUCGGCAAGGAAAGCUGCGGCUUCAGAAAUGGUACGUGCCAUUGUCUGAUAAGGAGAAAAAGAAGAUCACUAGAGAGUUGGUGCAGACGGUCCUAGCUCGAAAACCCAAAAUGUGCAGCUUCCUGGAGUGGAGAGACCUGAAGAUUGUAUAUAAGAGAUAUGCCAGUCUGUACUUCUGCUGUGCCAUAGAGGACCAGGACAACGAGCUCAUCACGCUGGAGAUCAUCCACAGAUAUGUGGAGCUGCUGGACAAAUACUUUGGCAGUGUGUGUGAGCUGGACAUCAUUUUCAACUUUGAGAAGGCUUAUUUCAUCCUGGAUGAGUUCUUGUUGGGCGGCGAGGCUCAGGAAACGUCCAAAAAGAACGUAUUAAAGGCCAUCGAGCAGGCCGACUUACUGCAGGAGAAUAUAGACUUUCAGAUGCGCCUGUUCUCAGGUGUGAUGGUCCCAAACAUGGUCUCUGAGUCUUCUGGUCUUUUCCAGACCAGCUGAGAAGAAGAGCAGAGGAGGUGACAGCACAGGAGACACUCCUUUAAUUACACAAAUACAUUGACAACAUUUGGUGCUGAAACAACAUUGUUCAAUGAAGACAGUGUGCAAACCUUUGCUUCAACUUUUGGCACAUUGUUUCUAAAAAUUGAAGGGCCUUGGACUUGUAGUUUCAAAACAAGCAUCAAUAUUGCUAGAUUGUCUUAGUAUCAUAUCAAAGUUUACAUUUCUGGUUUCAUUACAUCCUUAGUGCUUUUAAAAAAUAAAUACAAUGAUGCUGUAUAUUGUUCAAAGUGUUACAAUUUAUGUCCCAAGUGUUUUCAUUUACAAAUUGUUUAAGCCAUCUCAAUUAUGAAGAAAUCUGAACUGUUCAGGAGACACUUUUUUUUGAAGGGUUUUCUUUUUUUUUUUACUUAGACUUCAGGGCACAAUUUAAUGAAGACAUGAAAAAUCGGAGUUCAAUCUGAGCAAAUGUAAUCAAAUGACUGCUGAAUGUCAAACGCAGACAUGAAAGCAGUCUUGAAUGUGCUUUAGAUCAGGUAAGUAGGGAAGGUAAUAAAAAAUCAAGUCAAAUGAAGAAUUUUUUUUUUAUUAUGCUGAUUUGAUUCUCUGUUCAGGAUGAGAUGAUUUGAUUAAUGCCUCUCUUAUUCUGUAAACUAAUAUGAAGCUUUAGCAAAGAGACAGCCAGCUGAAAACAGGGUAGAUGGAUUUCCUCACACAAGAGUUUCAUCCAUGGAGUUUGUUUCCUAAGUGUAUCCAACCUUUAAAAAGUCGAGUUUCUUUACUAGAAAUGUUUGUUUGUGUUUGAGUGUAGUGUGUUUGCAGUGACCCCCCUCCAACCUGCUGCACUGUUUCCUGCAUGUGAAUAAAGUCUCUGAACGAGGCGGCUGCUGUCACUGGAUGUUGUGUUGUUCUCUAAGCUGUGUGUUUCUCUCCCUCAGCCCCGUCAUGAGUACUUUAAUGUGCCUGUGUACUGACUGGCUGCCAUCACUGCUCCUGCUGCUGCUGCUCUCCACCCUGCAUGCUGAGCUCCUCAGUGCCUGACACCUUUCUGUCUGCACCCUCCACACCUCUCACUGUCAUUGUGCGGAGGAUGUCAAAAAUAUUCUGAGCUCACAAUUCAACCAGAUACAUGACAGUCAUGAUGGCAUAAAGUUUAAGAAGUAAAAUGUACAUUGGAUAAGACAUUUCUUAUAGCACAAUGUACGAGGAGAUCCGUGCAAGUUUUUCACACAUUUUGUCUGAAUUCUAUAAUUGAUAUAGUCUAUGGUGAUAUAUCCAGAAAAUGACUGUCAUUUGUCCUCUAAUGGUUUGUUUCAUUGCACCAUUUCUCCACCUUUUUUAUUUCUACUUUCAAAGUCAGGGUUGCUUUGUGUGCCAUUCUGACCUCAAAGUUUGUUAAAAUGUAUUUACAUAGCUUCAUUUAUAAAUCACAAAUUUGCAUUAAUGGUGCAAGCAAUGUGAGACACAAAAGUGAUCUGCGGCUUUCUAAUGUUGCCAAAACUAAAAUCUUCCCUCAGCCUGAACAAUUAGUUUGGUGCCCAAAUUUUAAGUUUAGGAAGGUUAAAAGAAAAAAAAUAGUUAUGGGUAAAGUCAGUCCAUUUUGUUGUGUUUUGGCACAGCUCAGCAAAUUCAUGCAAACUCAAUCCCUGGGCCAUUUUCACAAUAUUGCAUCUUUGGCCGAUCUCAACCUUUUCCAGACACAGGCGUCAACAUGUACGCCAACAAACUCACCUCUUUGAUAUUCAAAAUCACACAGAGACCCAAAUAACAUGAAGAAAAGUGUGACUCUACUGCCGUCAAAGACACGUAGAUUAGUGUUUGCAUAGGAUACAACGGGCAACUGAGGGCAAAAUUAGUUUUUUAAUGGCGAUCAACUUUAGUUUCAUUAAAUCUUUUGAUUUUUUUGAGAGAAAUUUAGCAGAAGUGAUGAAGACAAACAUCCAGCUCAGCCAACAGAUGGCCAUUAUGAAAGUGUUUGAUCACAUCUCUCAGAGUAGAUGUUACACAGAAGAAAGACCUGAAAACAUUUCAACUUUAAAAAGAGAUCCUUGAAGUUUGGCAUUUUAGGCUCAAACGAUCACAGAAGUCUGCAAACCCCUAGAGGGACUGAACAUGAUGAAAGAGAAAGAGAAAAGGUUUGCAAAUCUAGGGUUAGCAUCUGAAGACAACAGUGAUGUUUGAUUUUUUUUUUUUUAAUCCAUUUUUCCAUUUAUGUUUAUCCAUGCUUCUAAGACCAGGUGAAGAAAGUCUUCAUCCUCUGUGUGUGCACAAAUGUGUCUGACUGAAAGGCACGAGUAUUCAUGUAAACACUCUCUCUUGAUAACACACUCUGAUCAGCUGAAUUCUUAGUGUUUCUUGUGUUAGAUCCCAGGUUAAUCUCCUUCACAGUCAGUCGUUAUUUUGUCUUAAACGUGUUCAUCCAGCCAGUAUUGUCUUCACUUAAUGGCUCCUUGAUGGUCGUGUUUUUGUGUGUGACAUCAUCAGCCAUGAGGGAGGUUAACUGCAUUACCAGUCUGGUGUUUCCCUUCUUCAUUUGGUUUGUGUAUUUAUGGGAGUAGUAGCAGUCCGUCUCAUGUCAUGUACAGCUUCACUUCAUAUCAUGUGUUUAAUCGUAGGUAUUUAUAUUCUAUAGUUCUCAAGUCGUUGUUAUGAUGAUUAAAAUAAUCCUAGCUCAGACCACAGCACAGACUAAAAGACUUUUAAAUUAUUUAAAGACCCUGAUUAUCUCUGUUUUAAAUAACCUCUCCAGGUAAGUAGUUUAAUGCAAAGAAUGUUAAAGAAAUGUUUGUGUUUGCACUGAUUUAACUGAAGCUCUUCGGCUUUUUACUUCCUGAUAAUUGUCAUAACUAUCAACAUUUAAACACCCUUUAAAUAGAAGUUAUUCUUAUUAAUGAAUCAUUAAAUACCCACUUAAUUACAGCACUUUAAUGUUUUGUUUCCUUCUAAAGACUGUCAUGAUACUUUGCAGAUAUUUUAUUAUUGUAUAUAACUGAAAUAAUAAAUUCUUUAUGAUUCUUUGUCAUAUAAGCUCUCUGUUGUCUUUCCUUUAUACAAACUGUUUUUAUGAUGUCUGUUCAGUCAUUUCAUUAUCUUACUGAUAAAACCAUUAAACUAACUUGAUGCCCUCUCUGCUGAAUGCUGCUGAGCUCCUUUGUUUUUGCAGAUGAAGAUGUUUAGCCUACAUACUAAUAAACGAGGGAUUUGUCAUUCCAGCAAAAUCCACCCUUGGAGUGAGAAGUCUAUAAUUGGUGAAUAAUUCAAAGUUUACGUUUUGGGCUGAAAACAUUUUACUCUGAAAAUGAAACGACACUUCAGAAGUCAGUGUGCAGAAGAUGCCAAAGAAGCAGAGACCCCACGCAGCGUGCUGGAGGAAAUUGGACUGACAUAAACAAGGUUCUCCUCGUCCUCAUCCAGCCGUCACACAACCCUCCAUCUGCCCCAUACUCUGCUGGACUAAAGAAAUACUAUUCACCUUUAGGCACCCAAACACAAAAAUCACAAUGAAUCUGUUUUCUGCUUCUUCUUUUUAACAGAGACAACAAUAAUGUAGCACUGUUUCAGGCUCAGAUUUUUUCUUCUGAUUUUCAGCAUUAUGAUGUUUACUGUUAGAAAUUCAGCUCAAUCAGAGUUUUUUUUUGUGUUUUUGCUGAUUUCUAGUCAACUCCAAUUUGCUGCCCUGAACUGCAGUUUCAGCGUGACCACUUUAUUCUGUGAAGUAUAUUUAUAUUAGAUUUUCUUAAAUGUAUUAGUUAGACUUGUAAAAUAGGAUAUAUUGUAAAUGGAAAUCAAAAAGUAUUACAUUAGCUGAACCAAAGAAUCAUGUCACAUGUAUGAAGUGUUGCUUUGUGGUUAUGGUGUCCAUAUUAUCAAGAACAAAGUAUUUCAUUUGAUUUAUAUCCACUUCACAUUCAUGGUCACUGCAGUCUGAGGGGACGUGUUUUAAGAUAAUAAUAGAUACAUGACAUAUAGUGAGUAUGCUCUCAGCUUAUUUUUGUAUUUUAUUUUUCUGUGAAAAAGCUGGUUUGCAUCAUUUACCACCUUAACCCAAGCGUCUAAAAUGUAUCUAUACAGCUUCAUUUUACAAAAUUGAAUUCACUUGAUUAACACAAGAAAGUAUUUGCAGUGCUGGCGUACAGAGACGCUGUUUGCUCUGCAGUGCAGUUAGGGAGCAUUUAACCCUUUGCAUGUGUUUGGUGAAGUAGACGGUGUCUUUUUGCACAGGUUUAGUGGGCACAAAAGCCACACAAUCCUUACCUGAAUCAGGCCCAGAGUUUAGUUUAGUUUGUUUUACAAUUUUGAUUUCUGUUACAACCCGGAAAGGGAGGCAACAUAAAAAGCAGAUGUUGAGUUUAAAGUUAUUUAUUACUAAAGAAGCAGAAGAAGUUGUGAUGCAUAACAAAAAGUGAGGCAGACUGAAAGGACCAACGAGUGCAAAGAUAAAGUAAAACAGAAGGACUCUAGAUAAGUGUUUUCAAAAACGUACUUUCUAAUCAGUGUAAAGGAAUGAACAUUAAACCUGACUAACUACACUUACUCAUCCAAACCAAACAAUAAAGGAACAGCACCCCUAACCUAGUGAUUCAUAACUAAACUCAGUCCAAAGUGUGUUUACUAAACCAUUUCCAAGCUGCAUCAUCAGUGGGGAGGCACCAAAAAGUUGUGAAACCUACAACCAAUGAGAGCAAAGAAACAUUUGCCUUAGAGGUAUAGGCUGCUGGGGAGCUACUUCCAACGUCUAAUUCAUUUUGCCUCAACAUAAUAAAUCAGGUUGUUUGGCAUGACCUGAUGGAGAAGCAAACAGAAUGAAAGAGAGACUCAUCUGUCAGAGCAAAUAAAACAGACUUCUUCAAUUGUUCUGGUCUCUCAGGCUGGUUGAUAUAUGAAGUGAAACACUCUCUAUUUCUCUUAUUUGACUUUUCCUUUGUGUGAAACGUUUCACUGAAUCCUGAAACACCACAGAUAUUUAUAACAAAAAAUGCUCCUCUGACUUAACAAAUCUGAUCAGUAUCCAGGCAAGUUUCUUAAUAAGAUAAUACCUUCAUAUCCCACGCAGUCAUCUGAUACUUCAAUGGAAGUAUAACAGAAAUGUCCCUCUUUUUGUCUGUUCUGUGUUAUAAACUGAUAUGAUCUGAUCAGCCUGAAUAUUUCAAACUGAUUCUCUUCUGUUUGAGUUUCUGGCUGAGUCGUAUCUUAUUAAACCCGUUCUCCUUCUAUCCCACGUUCCCACAGUUCCUGACAGACACAUUUAUCAUACAGUACAGCUUGUAAACUAGGACAAAUAAACUACUGUGAUUAUAAAGCAUGUUAGUGCUAAAGGGACCAUUUGAAACAGCAAUAGUUUCACACAGCAGACUGUUGAGACCUUUUAUUUAUUUAUUUAUUCAAGAUUAAAAGAAGUUUGACCUUGUUUGUAAAAGGGAAAAGACACACACAAUGCUUUGGACACAGGACUCUACAAACACUUUAAAAUGUAUUUUCCUUCAUGUUGUAUACACACAUUUGUUUUUAAAGCUGGUGAUGUUCUUCAAUCAAAGCAGGGUUUAAAAUGUAUUCUUUCUGCUCCCGUUUUUCUUUUGCAAUUUGCAGAUUAUUCUGUCAACCACAGUCAUUCUCUCCCUUUUAUACAGCUUCAUAAAAAGCAUUUUCUUGUUUAAUUUCAUCUGUAAUUUCAUCUGUAUCAUAUUCUGUGUCUCAGAAAUGUGACCAAUAGGAAGGACCGCUGUCAUUCCCUGCUGUGUGUGUAAAGUACAGUUUGUUAAACCGUGACAGAAAGCUGUGGAUUCAUAACUGGACUUGUGUUUACAUUUAGAGGAUGCAUUGUGGUUUCAUGUAUCCCCGUCAAGUUCAGCAAUAAAGAGAGUAGAAGCCUG